rnacentral:misc_RNA from 1 species
GAGACAUUGGCCUGGUCCCAUCUUUUGAAUCCUUAAAGGCUCUUGAUCCUUGUGCUGAUUUGUCAGUGAAAGUAGUUUUAAUUGACAGAUUCAGGGAUCCUGGUCUGAAAGAGCUACUCAAUAGUGUUAUUAGUCAUUCUAGUAGCUGGUUAACCACAAAAGAUGUGAUUGUUCAGCUUGCCAAUCUUGUCUCUAAGCGCAUGGGGGGGGUAACCUCUAGUGGAGAAGAAAAUCUUGG